UUUCUUAUCGAACUUGAAAGACUUAUGAUAAGAGAAACAUAUUAACAAUCGUAGCUUAUGAUUUCUUUUUUAUUUAUUUGCUUCUCUUUUCACAGAGAACUGUUCUGAAAGCUGUGCGCUUAUCAGAUAUAUGCAAAAAAGAAAAAGCAGUAACUGUGAACUAGUGCUAAGACAUGAAAAAAAAAACACAACAAAUCCAGCUUCUUCCAUCAUUGUCUCACCCUUCUACUGCAAGAGAGAGGAGAGACCUCCCAAGAUACCUCCUCACCCAAUCGUCCCCGUCCAUCGUCUCAUGUCACCUUUCAUUUCUUUCUGUCCUGUUCAAUUCUGCACUUGUGUUUAAACUACAGUGAGAUCAAAAGAAGGAUACCUCUGCAAUGUGAGAAUGCAUUGAUAACAGGCUCCCACAAGGGGGACCAGGGCCAGAUAAACAAUGCCAAGGGGCCUCGGGCAAACCCUUACUUCCCCAUUUGCAAUGUUAGGUGAUUAAAACGUAAUGGCAUUCAAAUGUUUUAAGAGUACUCACUAAGUAAGCAUAAUGCAUUGUUGGUUUGAAUAUAACGCAACCGUGAUUAAACAUUUGUUAAAGACUCAAAACCAGACAGACAUUUUCCUUUGUAAACCAGAAAUGCUUCCAGAAAAGCUGAAUUUAUGAAUAUUAAUAUCUAAAUAAAAAAGUGGCUUGUUUAUCAGUCCAGUAUCAUGACAGCCAGAGUCGUCGUUAACUCUUGGCUGCUUGACGGAAGAUUUGGUCCCCAGCUAGGGUCAGGGUUAUGGUUGUGACGUCAAAACCUUAAGGUCACAAACAAAACAUAAUGCACAACUCUUUACACCUACAAUAUUCUUGCCAUUCAAAAAGAAAAUGGUACAUGGCCCUAAUUACCUGUGACUUGUGAUGAAAAUCAAAUAUCUUAUUUUAUUUAUAUUAUUAUAGGUGCAUUCAUGUUGAACGUUUGCUCAAAAGUUAAACCCAGUGCCAGAGGAAGUAGCAUCAACUUUCUGUAGCAAGAUGGGAAUCAUGGGUCUGGAGGUUGAACAUAUGUAGCAUCAGACUUUCAAGCUGAAUGCAAGAGCGGAUAUUCCAUCACAGGUCUCCUGCAAUUGAUAUUCAAGUUUCUGUUUCUUAAUGUUCUUGUCGGGUCCAUGGUUUAAUUGUCCUUUCCCAAUGAGAAACCACACUGCAGAGGCACCCUUCCAAACUCAUUCAUGGUUUUUUUUCUUUCUUCCGCCCCUUGUUGCCUAUGUUUCUCUCCGUUUCAUUCAUUCACAACUCAGGUAUCUCUUUCUCUCUCUCCCUCCGUCCCCCUAUGUUCCUUUUCACCCAUGUUUCCUCAAAGAUGUAUUGUAUGUCUGAAAAAGGGAGAGAUUUCUGUGAACGCCAUGUGCUGUGUUUUGUGGCUCUUCCUCGCCUCUUUUAAAAAAUGUUGUUUUGCUUUCCAUGUCCAACUGUGCUUCCUGUCUUCUCCUUGUGGCGUCCCUCGUCUUUCCAGCCUCUCAAUUAACCAUGUCCCCCUUUCUGUGAAACUUAAUCCCCCAACCUACCAUAGAGCCACCUUUAGUCUUUCACAGCAAAACCAAAAAAAGGAAUUAAAUGAAUUGGUGAAGCAAUUAAAUGGUUUGGUGAAACACUGGACGUCACCAAGGAGGAAGAUAGGAGCGGACAUUUAAAUGAAUGAAAAAAAGACUGAGGGGUUAUAUUGUAGGUUGUGAGGAGGGGAAAACUGUGCAAUGAAAUGAUGUGUUCUGAGUGGAUUGUCAGCCGAGCAGCUUCAGAGGGAGGAGAUGGAGGAGGAAAAGUUUGGGGAAGACAGAAAAGUGUGGUGAUGAUGAGGAGGCAAAAAAGAAGCAAAAUCUCUUCCCCAUUGCUGAGUUUCUAAACCCCGUUUCACCACAAGAAGAGGAUAACAAUAAACUUUGAAACCGCUGCUCCUCCAUCUCCCCUAAACGGAUUCACUGUAGAAAACGGGAAGGAGAUAGAGAGAAAGAGAAGAAAAAAAGAUGCGUGAUAGAAACUGACACUGACCAGAACAUUUUCAUCUGUGUGACACAUUCAUAUGCAACCUGGUUGAUGAUCCUAAUGGAGAAAAUGGUCACGAUCCUACAAAAGCUGUUCUGACCUCUUUUGAACAGAGCAAACCGCACCAUGGGGGCUCCCAGCGUAGCGUCCAGAGGGCCCUUGAGAGACUUGGAUUUGGAACAAAGAUGCCCUCUGUUUUAGUUGUGUUGUUGCUUUACUAUUUUUAUUUCAUUCAGCUGUUGAUAUCCAGUGGAUGUUCCAUUAUUUUGGCACUCAAAGCACUAUGCAAAGUCAGAAGUGGUCCAUCGUGAUGUCCAAUGACUCAGGCAGAGUCUGAGCUACAGGACCUCUAACAGCAGGCGAAAAUGUACUCAUACAUAUCAGAAAACAUCAGCCAUAUCACAUGUACAUUUGACAUGAUCCUGUAUUUGAUAUUAUCUGAAUCUUCCGGGAGACAUCUUGGGUUUAAUACUGAGAUCUCAGCAAAUGUCAAAAAACCAGUAUUCACCUUGUGAUGGAAAUAACCCAAAGACAGACCAACUGGGGGUGAACUAAAGCCCUCAGAGACAGGAAACUGGCCGUUACAUCAGCUCAAGAAAAAGUCACUGAAAAGGAAAAUGUGAUUGACCCUCUUUCUCUCUCUCUUGUUCCCUUCGAGUGUUUACGGUGUCUUGAAUGCCCCCCCACCCCCCUCUCCUCCCUGCAUCUCAGCGUCGCUGCUCCUCUUUAGCAAAAUGCAUGGCAUGAAUGAAACCAAUUUAAACCCGAAGAAAGACAGUCAACGACACAAUGGAUGGAUUUUAAAAAAUGGGGGGAGAGAGAACGGAAGGAGUCCAUGAGAGAGAACAUAGAUUUAUUUUUUGCCACACAGCAAUGUCAAUGCAACGUCAUCCAAGCUACUCUUUAACCCCCUAAACUGGCUGCUAAUACGUGCAUCUCCUGCAGCAAACUGCCUUCUCAGAAGGCAUGACGGAUGAGGAGGAGCUCCCUUCCCCUCCGAGGGAAAGAGGGAGGGGGGAAGGAGAUUCUGCAGACCAUACACUCUAUACCUCUGGGGAUGUGGGGUGAGAAGAUAGAGGUUUUUCAGAAAAAAAGCAGGUAUCCUGCAGCAGCGGGAGAACAUCUUUGAGAAACUAUCAUAGGGACAAAAAAAUGGCAAAUUAGAAAUGCAUUUUUAUGACAUUGUUUACCAGCAUGAAUAUUCUGCAUGACUUCUGCAAGCCAUUCUGAUCUCCCCCAUGAAUAACAGGGCUAGAAAUUGAAUUUAAACAUGAACAUUUAUCAGAAGAUUAUGUUAUAUGAAACAAAUUUAUAAAAAAUGUAGGAUUAUGUUUAAAAAAAAUGUUCUUUUUAAUUAUAAAACACAAAUAAUUAAGAAAAAAAGGGUUGCAACAUCCAACCUGUUUGGUUUUCUCUGAGAAAUCUUAGGAGCCCCCCACCCCCAACCCCACCUCUCUAAAAUCCAAGAAGACUCCUCCCAACUUCUGCAAGUAUUUAUUCUGCUACUACACGUUCGUCUACUACUACUUCAACUUCUCACCUGACUGCUACUCUGCUUCUUCUUCCUCCUCCUCCUCCUCCUUUUCUUCUUCUCUUUCUUCUUCCUCUUGUAGCCUUUAACCAGAACCCUUAUACGUAUCUCUCUCCAAUGGCAGCUGUGUGUGUUUGUGUCACAAUGUGGACCCAAAACUUUCAAAAUUAUGUUGAACUGAACUGUGCUGUCCACUCAGAGAUGUCAUUGAUUCCAUGUAUCUGAAUUGAAAAUGUAUGUUUUCCCUUUCUUCUGAACAUUUUUUCCCCCUUGAUAUCCAAGGCAAAAUGUCCUCCGUAGUCUGGGGUCAAGGACAAGUCAGGUACCGGUAGAAAUUGCUACCUAAACAAUGAAACAGGCAAUUUACAAGAUGGCUGUCUCUUCAUCCAGGGUUGUUUUUAGUACUGUAAGAGAUUCAUUUCCGAGGAUGAUAUUGGUUAUUUUCCCAACAGAGCAAUAGCUUUUUGUCAUUUCCUUUGAGAAUCCUUUAAGUGUUAUCAGUGUUGGUCAAAUCGAUUCCUGUUGCAUGGGAUUGGAGUUAGCAUUAGCGUGAAAAAUAAUUAUGUUCAGGUUAAAAUUCUAAAGGUGUUAUGUACGUAACACUAAAGUUUGAUCAAACACUGGGCUGUUUCCAGAAAAAUCCUCAGAAAAAUCUGACCAAAUAGAAGGAAAUUUGGUUCAGUAGAUUCUAAGGAUUCAUGGAACAACUCAUCUCAAAACAAAAAGAAACAAACUGAAGGAUGUCCAUAAAUGUUUACCCCAGUAGCUUCUUUAUGAUGUAGCUUUAUCAAAUCUGCCCACAAUUCCACAAGGAAUUAACUUGUGUAUUAUAGGACAUUGACCAUUCAAUAACCUUGUACUUGAAUUAGCUGGAAUGUAGCCGCAGUAUUGCUAAGUUAAAUCUCCAAUAUUGUUUCCAAAACGUUUUCAUAUCUUCUAUGGCCACUCGAAAAUAAUCACUUCUUUCUGAUGUUGCUUCCAAAUGUAGCCUUACUUAAAGAGUAUUUAAUGAACUAACUUGAUAAUACCAACCUUUCCGAUGAGCUCAAUUGGGACUAUCUGCAUCAAACAAGCUUUGAAAUCAAUGCGACUUAAUCCCUGCAGUCAUAGUCCUAUCUAUGAGGUGCUUUGUGUAAAGACUCCAAUAAAAGCACCUAACCCUAAAUCUGAUCCUUUAAACUUUAAACUCAAGUCUGCCCCAGUAAUCUUCAAGUAAAACCUUUUUCCAUAACAAACUGUUUCAGAGCAUAGUCCUAAUUGCUGAAAUUAUUCAGUAGCUUUAAUAGUUCUGAAAAUGUGUGCCCAGAUAAAGCCUGCUGUAGCGUACGCCUGUAAACAGAGGGAGGGAAAACUCGAGGGGGAACAUUUAGAGUGGAGGCUUUGGCUUUUCAGUUUAUUUUUCUUGAAAGUGACCCGAUUUGAAAGAAUUUAGUAACGAUUCCAAAUAAAAUCAAAAAAAUACUGUGGUCAAAGACCUUCAACAGUGCUCAAACACAAAAUAUGUUGGGUCUAUCCCCUGCUAAUGCAACGUGGUUAAAUCAUUAAGGAGCAGAUAAUGUGCAAAUGAACAGUGUCCACCUAAAACCAGUCCCAGCACCAGUUGGUAGUUGUUUCCCUGGGGAGGGAGGCAGCCAUCUUGGAUCAAUGUGUUGAAACAGGGUUAGUCAAGUAACCCUAUCACCAGAAACAGUUCAAGUAAUGAUGUUCUGCUGGGCUGUUAGAAAACCACAGAGAGAUUUUGAUUUUGAAAAAGAGGUAAAUGAACAGAAAGGUAAAAAUAUUUCUUCUGAAAGGUAGCAGGUACUAGAAAAUCAUGUUUCACAAAAAAAGCUGUAGAUUGUGCUGGUAAUUCUUAUUUGUCUUUUAUUUAUGACAUGUCUUUACCAUGCUUUUCAUGUGAGGGUUAAUGUUCAUUUUUGAUGCUGUAUCAGUUAUUUUAAUUGCUCUGUAUUCAUUUGUAUUUGGUUAUAUUAGGACAAUGUGUGCCCACCACUUGGUGAAGUAUUCUGAAUGGGGAUAGGGACUCGCUAGGCAAGAACCUCAGUUCCUUGACUAAUGCCAAGAAAGUGACUAAUACCACUACCUUGGUAUAAAGGAAAUAAUAACAUUUUAUUUUUCGAAAGUUAAUCAGAUGACUACAAACAGACAUAAAACGACCACAACGACUCAAGAUGACUACCAGAAAAGACUACAAAGGCAUGCAAAAUGACCUUAGAGAAGUGCAGAACGACUACAACAAGAUACACAAUGACCAAACAGACACUCACAGACACUGGUGUCUCAUUAGCUAUCCAUUAGUGUAGGUUUGUGGCUGAUAUACAGUCGGGCUAUCACAAAUAUUUAAGCAAAAUAUUCCCAUUUAUAGCUUGUACACCAUUUAAAAGAAAUCUCUGCUAACAAAGGACAAAAAAACUAACAUUUAUGUAAAAAACAGCUAUUCGCUGACAAACCUGCACUUUCCUGUUGUCACUGCUUUUGCCAAACUCACCAGCCAGAGAAGAUCAUCAGCUGUAUUUCACGCUUUCAAUAAGGGCUAUCAAGCUAAAAAAAAAAAAAAAGUAUACCCUUUGGAUUUCUCUAAUGGACCCUCACAAAUUGAGGUCAUAUGGACCGUCCUAAUGUCUAUAUGAUGGAAUUUAAGACCAAUAUUCUUUGGAUUUACAUCAUUUCUUGACCUGGGCAAUCUCUACGGGAUGUGUCUGGUCUGCUACUCAGUUUCAAUAAGAUAGAUAUUAGUUCAGAUGAGCAGUUUAAUAUGGUCAUUUUUUUAAGUACAGCUGAAAAAGACCUGCAGGUUUCAUGAACUGCAGAUUUUGAGAGUCCUAGGUACUAACACCUCUUACGAUCAGAGUCGGCAACUGUUCCGAAAAAUGGAUUCAGCCAAGAUGUGAUUGCUCAGUCGAAAGACUAAAUGGUUUUAACUCUUCUGAGUCAGGCUGCAGUCCAUCCAGUAUUUGAUAUUUCAUUGUGUCUAAAGUCAUGCAUUUCUGAAAAUCGAAACUAUUUUGAAGAUUAAAAAGGAUUUUAAACUUCAACCGAUAACUUCAAGGGCCAUGAUACCGUAUCUUAAGUGUUGUUUGCAUUAUUUGGGACCAAAAAGGUCACUCUUUGGUAUUGAUAAUCUUCAGUCAUACACACAAUUCUCUGUAUCAUUCUGGUGGAGUCUUACAAAUAACAGGGUGCCAAAAAUCAAAUAGAAAACAGGGCCUAUCUCAGGAAUACACUGUAUAAAAAAUCUGAGAGGUGGAAUAUUGAGAUUUUAUGAUCCUGCAGUAUGUAUUUUCAGGAAAGUUUCAAAUAUAUUAAUAGUUCUGAGUGAACAUGAUGCUCAUAUCAAUGGCUGCUGAUUUCGCUUCUUGAAGCCUGGAAGUAGAUUUUUCUAUCCUUUUGGUCAAAAUUAUGUCCUAAUGUCCUUCCACACAGCACUAGAUCUCAUUGCUUCCAGGGUGUUCUUCUUUUAUAUGUGGCACUGUAUGUGAAAAUAAUUGGUUCUGAUAUCACUUGUCUUCCUAAAGGUAAAAAGUACAGCUUUAGAAAUGUAAAAAAAUAUAUAUCUUACUAAGAACUGUACUGUAGCUAUACCAACUUCUCUCAGUGUCAUUGAUUUUUAUUGGUUCAUAUUGCUACGAGCAUUUUUUUAAUUUGUUAAAACUGUUGUUUUUGGUUUACAUAUCAUAUAUUUUGUAUUUUGUAACACAUGCAAUUAUAAUGAAUUAUGAUCAUGAAGAUGAUGACAAUGGAUUGACAAAUGCUUUUGUAUUUAAGCAUGCAGUGAACAUAAAGAUAGCCUAUGCACGCACCAGUUGGGCUAAAGGCUUCAUGUCAUUGGUCUGUUGGAGAACAUGUGUCUCUGGUGGGGAUGGGGGGCGGUAAAUAUGACCAUCGUACAUAUUUGAAAAAGAAGACCUGGUUUCAAAGGGACUGAUACCUUUGAUCUUAGCCCUAGAUAUUAAACUUAACAAACAAUGUUAGUAGACGCUACUGCUAAUUAGAAUUGCCCAUUUACUUACUUUAGGGUUUAAAAAAAAAAAAAAAGGGAAGGUUACUAAAUGUAAUGUAGCAUUAGAAGGCACUCUCAUUGAUCGUAAAAAUGUGGGUCUUGUUCGAUACAGAAAAAGACUACAUGGUGUGCAUGGGUCCAUAACCAAAAACACUGUAGUGUACCAUUUCUGUAAUGCAACCUUCAUAGUAUUAGCCAUAAGACUCUUUUCAAAAUUGGUGCAAUACGAGUGGUAAUGAAGAUUGAUUCUGAAAUAAAAUCAUUGGUUGGGAUCUCACAGAAACCUUGAUGGCCCAACUACUAAUAUAAUACAAGUACAGCAAUUGCAAAAUGGUUUAUUUACAUUAAAGGUGGAAAUAACUUGAAUCCUGAGGUGCGCAACACAAAUUCUUCAACGGUUCUUUGGACAUGGAUAAAGCCCUGCAUCACAAUAGGAUCCAACCCUCUCCUUCCAUACAUAUCAGAUGGCAUACUGCCCGAGAAUCAAAACUAAUGAAGUCCUAAUAUAGUCCUUUAGGGCUUUAGCAGAAGAUAAACAAAUGAUGACUGCAAAAUUCUGGAAAAACAAACAGCAACAUUGAUUAUUCCACUGCAGGGUAGUGGGGACAGAGCAAUAAUGGUACACGCUAUUUUUUAGGGGUUUGGUUGUGUGGUUGGUUGAUGUGUGUAUGAGUGUGUCUGGAUUGUGUGUGUUUUGUGCAAACUGAGCUAAGCCACACUCCUGUGAGAAGACUGACAGCUGAGCUAACCAAUAGUGCAACUUUACUUGAAACUCAAACGAUGCCCUAACAUAUCAGGACAAGAUGCAGAGGAGCGGCUUGCCCACUGUCAACCCCCUCCAUAUUACUUUAAUGCUGGUUAGAGUUAAUAUUAGUAUACUGUAUGUAUUUGAAGAAGCCACAAGCAGUUUGGUGAUGUCACAGACUAUGUUUUUUUCUCAGACAGCAGAAGAAAAACACCUGAUGUGGAUCAAUCAUUGGGGUUUGGUCAGAGGUGAAAUGUGAAAAAGUUUGAACGCAAACAGAGCUAUUGUUUACUCCCCUUUACCAUUUAUAGCUUAGCAAACACAGCUAAACUGAAGGUGACAUGUAAAAUAUAUGUAUUAUUCAUUAAAACUUUGCAUUGCAUAAUUUAGAAAAACUAGCUAGUUUAUCCAGACAGUUAAGGCCAGUGGAGCUUGGGAUAAACUAGGUCACCUAUACCUAAAAUUAGCAUCUUAGCUAGCUGAUCAUAGACUAGCCUAUCAUUUAAGCAAAAUUAACUAGCCUAAAGUCCUAAAAAAACGUCUCAAAAACUGUAGAAAAAGCUAACAAGUUGACGUUAAGUCAAAUUAACCAAGGCUAGCUGACUAACAUUGCCUGAAUGAAUUGGUUAGCUAGCCUGAAAUUAUAAACCCGUCUUGCUAAUAUGCUAAUAAGUGGACUUCCUUUUAGGUUUACCGCCUAUGGUCUGGAUAAACUAGCUAGCCAGCCUAAGCAUUGUAUGAGGGAGUUGAAGAGUAUUUUGUAAAAACACUAUUUCAAGAUGAAGAGUGAACUUUCACGCUAAAGCUGGAUGAUGUUGUGUUUCAGUUUGAAGCUAACAGGGCAGGCGCUAAACCUCCAUACUGUUUCUUGCAGCACCUCUAAUUCUCACUUUGCUGCUCCUCACCUCUGUCUCUGUCUCUGUCUCCGUCUCUGUUUCUGUCUCUCUCUCUCUCUGUCUCUCUGUGUCUCUCUCUCUCUCUCUCUCUCUCUCUCUCUCUCUCUCUGUCCCUUCCUCCUCUUCCUCCUUCCCUCCUCGUCUGUGGUUAUUUUGAGGAAGAAGCUUCGUUUUGCAUCCCUUGUUCUUGUGUUUUUCUAUUCUAUUUUUUGAAAAUGAAUUCUAAAUGCAUGCAUGGGAAACUUCAAAAUGAUGACUUAAACUUAAAUUGCGAAUGGCUAUGUGAAGGGAAGCCUCUCCUCAGUCCUCAAAAAAAAAAAAGUCUUGUCUUCCGCCUCUUCCUUUCUCCGUCAGGAAGACACAGUUAGGGACAUAAACUAAUUAUAUUAUUGAUAAUUCAUAUUACAUUUCUGGCUUCUUUUCAUGCAGGCAUGGACAUUAUUCACUAGUGUAGCCACUCUUCACAGAGCAGACUGUGUUGGGUCACUUUCUGGAGGCUCAGUUUCAUGAGUCCAGUCAUAAUUUCCUGGAAGCUUCUAAAGACCAAUGUUGUGGUUUUAGUGCUUUUCGGGGAAAUUCAUAAUCUAUUUAUUUUUUCCCGUGUCACCAUUUAAGAACAAAGCCUUAUUCUUGUGUCAUCUUUCACUUCCCUUUUGAAAGUGUCGGCAGUUUAUAGCAUUGUCGACCGAUUGAUUUAUUGAUUACUCAGUUGAUCAAUUGAUUUGUCCCACAACAGGGAUAUCGGAAUGUGUCCACUGGAAAGAUGCAGAGGAAACAAAGGAUGACCGAGACAGGAGAGAGAGAGGCUUCCCUCCAAUAUUGAAUGGGGUUUAUGCUAUAAAGACUGAUGUUGGAUAUCAUUUUAUUGUCACUACACUGGAGAGAGAAAAAUAUAAUAAAAAAGAAUCAAGAACUGUACAAAAUAUAUUUAAAUGGAAUGUUUAUUAUUUACCUUUUCUAUUUUUGAAACAUGUAAAGAACAAAAAAGGUGAAACUGUAAUAAUUCAACAGCAUUUGUGAAAAAGAGACUUAUAAAAAAAAAACAGUUCUGUUGUUAAAGUGUAUGAAGGUUUGACUGUGAAUGCCGAUUUACCCGAGCAAUUCUUCUCCUUAACUGAUACCAUAAAUGAAAAACCAGUUGAAUAAUAAGUCUUUUAAAAAAAAAAACAUAGAACUACUGGGGAAAAGGAAACAAAUUCAGUUUAAAGAGAAAACAUAGAAAACUUAAUAAAAACAUUAAAAGCUUAUGCCAAAACUUUC